AGCAGUCGCCGCGGUAAUACAGAGGAUGCAAGCGUUAUCCGGAAUGAUUAGGCGUAAAGCGUCUGUAGGUGGCUUUUCAAGUCCGCCGUCAAAUCCCAGGGCUCAACCCUGGACAGGCGGUGGAAACUACCAAGCUGGAGGACGGUAGGGGCAGAGGGAAUUUCCGGUGGAGCGAUGAAAUGCGUUGAGAUCAGAAAGAACACCAACAGCGAAAGCACUCUGUUGGGCCGACACUGACACUGAGAGACGAAAGUUAGGGGAGCAAAUGGGAUUAGAUACCCGGGUAGUCCCUGUCUCUUAUAC
rnacentral:rRNA from 1 species